rnacentral:lncRNA from 1 species
GAGGCUAAAAGUGGAGUCAUGGUGUUGGCAUGAUUUUUAGGUUGCUUCCAUUUUUGUGUUGAGCUCUCUCAUUAAACCCCCCCUUCAAAAUCUUAAUUCAGUAUGGUUAUACCAGUAGGAUGGUGGCACACUAGUGGUGAGACCUCCUGGCCUGUUUUCUCCAUGGGGUGCUAGGAAGCUCGAAAGUGGGAAAGCUCAAAGAUUGGCCACUGGUUUGUGGCACGCUUUUCUAUGUAAUUUGGGCCUCAAAUCAAAGUUUGAAACCAGCUCUAAAGCUGAGGCUGUUCCAAACCUCACUGAAAAACUCAUAAAAUAAUGGCAAUAAAAAUAAUGGAAGAGAUAGGAGAAAGGAAAAAAAUAGAUCCUUGGACCACGGAACAAGGUAAUUAUGGGGGAGAUAGAAAGAGAGAUCCGUAAAAAGAAAUAUUCACUUGAAUACAAACAACUUUCUGCCGAAAUUGCCACAGAGAACCAACUGCCUAAAGCCCUUCAAAAGCCUCCAACCAUUUUUCUAGGUGAGUGAUGUUCUGAUCAACCUAAACUUGACAGGUGUCAACGUUUUGCUAGGCAACUGUAUGAGGAUGUUGUAAGUAUAAAUUACAGCCUCUGCUUCAAGCGCUCAUUACUCAACUCUCCUCUGCUCUUUCUUCUCCAUUAGUCUUUUUUCCCCUUAUUAUUUCUGUCAUUUUCCAGAGAAAAUUUGGGAGAAUUCAGCUCUUCCUGGUUCAGCAUUGGAGAUUAUAAUGGGGGUUUUUCGUGGGGUUCUGGUGGUUUGGAUUGUGGUUUCUGUUUUUCUCCAUGAUUCAAGCAAUGUUGAAGGAAGAACACACUUUCACAAGAAGCACAAUAACGAUAAAGGCUCCCCUGUUGCUGACCCUCCUGCUUAUUCUCCUGAUCCUUCUCCACCCCCUGUUUAUCCUCCUCCUGUUCCUUCAGACCCCAGUCCAAACCCGGAUGAUCCUGGGAAUUCUAACUCAGAACCCUGUGUUUUUGAUGUAACAUCUUUUGGUGCCGUUGGAGAUGGCACCACUGAUGACACUGCUGCAUUCAUGGAGGCGUGGAAAGCGGCCUGCGCUGUGGAAUCAGGCAUUGUUCUGGUUCCUGCAGAUCACGUUUUCAUGAUCACUUCAACAAUCUUCUCCGGCCCCUGCAAGCCAGGAUUAGUAUUUCAGGUAAGAAUGCCUUUGUUUUCUUCUAUUCAUUCCAAGCAGAAUGAUCCUAUGAAUCCCGAGCUAAGCUUGAAUAUGUGGAUAGGUGGAUGGAGUCCUAAUGCCACCCAAUGGCCCGGACUGCUGGCCAAAAUCAGACAGCAAGAAGCAAUGGCUCGUCUUCUAUAGACUCGAUCAGAUGACCUUCACAGGAAGCGGAACCAUUGAAGGGAAUGGAGGCGAUUGGUGGGAACUUCCAUGCAAACCCCACAGGGUAUUUUACCUCAAUCUAUAUGCCUUCUGUGUGAUUCCUUUUAUUUAUUUAUUCUUUUUACCUUAUUCAUUUCAUGGAAAAUGAUAGCCACUAAAUGCUACCGUAAUUAUCAUUUCAGGGUCCCAAUGGCUCAACCUUGCCCGGUCCAUGUGACAGCCCUGCUGUAAGUAAAAGCAUCCACGGCCCACUUCGUUAAUCAUUCAUUAAGUCACUGGAUUUUCCAUCUUAAUGAGCUUUUUCACCUUCUCUUUCAGUUAAUUCGGUUCUUCAUGAGCUCCAAUCUUGUGGUCAGUAGCUUGAGAAUUCAAAACAGCCCUCAGUUCCACAUGAAAUUUGAUGGCUGUGAAGGAGUACUAAUAGAAAAACUAUCCAUUUCUUCCCCAAAGCUCAGCCCCAACACUGAUGGGAUCCACAUUGAGAACACUAAGUCUGUAGGAAUAUACAACUCUGAAAUAGGCAACGGUAAUCAAACUAUCUGUGUCUUGACGGAAAUUAAACCCACUGCUAUUACGGAUUGAGUGACAUUCUAUUAUAUGACAUAAUUUGAACAGGGGACGAUUGCAUUUCCAUAGGACGGGGAUGUUCAGAUGUCAACAUAGAAGGGGUCACUUGUGGGCCUAGUCACGGGAUCAGGUACAUGUUGCGCUUUUCCAUUAAUGAAAACAUGGCUUGCCAACUGCAAAUAGAUGGAGCCAAGCUAUUUUUUUUUGGCUUCAAGCCUUCUUUUUCGUUACUUCUAGGCCCGCACAAAGCCAUGACUUACCUUCUAAUGCUUGUGAAAGCAACUUAAAGAAUUAUUAAUGAGUACUUUACAGGUGCUUUUCUUUCCAUGGAGGAUGCUAGAAAGCAUAACUUUUCAACAGAGAAAAUGCUAGAAAGAAGAACUUACUGCAAUUGGUUCUGUUUCAUCAUCCUCAACUAACUGUUUGUUCUGUUUCCUGCAGCAUUGGGAGCCUUGGAGUGCAAAACUCCCAGGCCUGUGUCUCCAAUAUAACAGUCCGCAAUGUGUUCAUAAAGGACUCAGAUAAUGGGGUGAGGAUCAAGACAUGGCAAGGGGGGACGGGGUCUGUGAGUGGCAUAUCAUUUGAGAACAUACAGAUGGAGAAUGUGAGGAACUGCAUGAUCAUAGACCAGUACUACUGCUUAUCAAAGGCUUGUCGAAACCAGACCUCUGCCGUCUACUUGACAGACGUUACCUACAGAAACAUAAAGGGCACCUAUGAUGUCCGGAGCCCUCCAAUACACUUUGCCUGCAGUGAUACAGUAGCUUGCACAAAUAUAACAAUGUCUGAAGUCGAACUUCUCCCAGCAGAAGGGGAACUGGUGGAUGACCCAUUCUGUUGGAAUGCUUAUGGAACCCAAGAAACUUUAACCAUUCCCCCCAUUACUUGCUUACAAGAUGGUAUGCCCGAGUCACUGGCAGAGAGCUCCUCCUAUGGCUGCUGAGAGAGUUUCCUUUAUUACUGAAAUAGAAUUACUGGCUAGAGCCCGAGUGCCGUUAUUUGUUCGUGUAUGUUGAUUAGUACUUUGGCUCCAUCCCUUUUGGGGUUUGCUUCCCUGAUUGUGUGAUGAGAUGUGAUAGGAAAGGGUGUAUUUUUUGCCCUACAAUGUACUAGAAUUGAAUUUACAUCUACAGUUCAUAUUUAAAUCGUUGUAGCAGGUUUUGGUAACUUUGGGGUAUCAUUUAAGUUUUAACUCUCAAGGAAAUAACAAGUCCAUUUACAUAUUCCUACCAUGCUUUAUAUGUAUGUUUAAUACCAGCCUUAAAACAUGGCCAAAUUUGACAUAAAUGCAUAACCAAACCACGUCCCACAUCCAUUGUAUCAUACAUAUCCGCACAUGUUUUAAAACAAGAACAGUCACAUUCUAAUAGGAUACAACAGUUUGAUUGAGAAAAUAAAAUUUUAUCAAUAAUUAAAUAUUGUUAAAUGUGAUGAAUGUUUUUUCAUUAAUUUAUUGCAAUUUUCAUUAUUCUUUUAGAUGGGUUUUCUUAUUUUUGACUUUUUUUUAACUCAUUUACGAGUAUAUCGAGUUUGACAUUGAUUAAAAAUAUCAGGAGCAUCGACUUUACCAUUGGGCCAAGUUUGCCCCUUGUUAAUUAUUUUGCAUCACACACACACAUAUAUAUAUAUAUAAAUUUUAAAAUAAUACUUUAAACAUCAAAUUAAUUAUAAUUAUUUUAUAAUUAAAUAAAAAAAUUUCAUUUAAUUGAGUAAAAAAAAGUUUUUAAUAUCAUUAAUAUAUUAAUUAAAUAUUAAAAAAAUUUAUCAUCAUUUUUUUAUAUCAUUUAAUAUAAUUAAAUUAAAUAUACCAUAAUUUUAAUAUUAAAUAUAUAUUAAAAUUAAACAUAAUAUAAUCAAAUAUCACAAUAUUAUUAUCAAAUAAUAUUUGAUAUAAUUUAAUAAUCAAUGUACCCUUAUAUAUAUUAAUUUCUUUAAUAAAACAAUUUUAAAAUUUCUAUUAUACUUCUAAUUUCAUUUUUAAAAGUUUUAUUUUACAUUUUUAAAAGUUUUGAUUAAUUUUAAAUCAAUCGAUAUUUUAUAUCAAAAUAUCUACCCAUAUAUCCGUAAAAUGGAAUUUCUGAUAUAUAUUAUCGAUAUUUUUAUCCUUGUUAAUAGAGGAUGUUUGUCCGUUUUUUUAACUUGAUUGUCAAAACGAAAUGGUUUGGUCCAGCCUCCACGGCUUUCUCCGUUUCAAAAUUUCGUAUUUUUCUCUGAGAGUUCCUGCAAUUUGACAAAAAUCAGGGGUGGCUCUUGUAAUUAACACAAAUCAAAAUACUUCUUGAAUUAGCAAAACGAUCUCGUUUUCCCUCCUAGGCUCCUAACAUUACCGAAACGAAGCUGCAAGCCUUCCAACAUUGCACCGCAGUGAGGCUGCGUUCAGGUCUGUUGCGAAGCCUGAAAAAAAUUUAAUUUAAUUUAUUUUAUGAUUUAGUCGAUUGUGGCAUUGAUUUUGAUCAUUCGCUAAUCUCAUGUUGAUUCGAUUUCUCUGCAUUGAAUUCAAAAAUCUCUGUGAUUUUGUAUGAAACCAAGUGUAAUUUAGAGUCAGGGUUUGCCUCCAUGGUGUUCGACGAAAUAUUAUUUUGGCGCUUUGCUGGAUUAUAAUGUAACCCUAGUUUAAGAUCCGCAGGAAAACCCCUGUUGCUCCGUUUGGUAGGAUUUUGAAAAUGGAAAACCGAAAGUCCCUUCUCGUUCUUGCAUUUCUUGGAUACAGCAUACUUCAUUUUUUUUUUUUUUUGGAAAAUGAAGACUCAGAAUGAAGAUUCGAAGUUCCUGAAUAAUUCAGAAAGCCACCGUAUUUGAAUUAUUUUUUGGUCCCCAAGAAUGGGCUGCAGAAAAAAUAAAAGGGAUUGAUUUAGACAAAAAAUUGAAAUCAAUUGGGGUGUAGUGUAUCUGUGUUUGAAUGUGUUAUUAUUAAUAUUUAUUUGUUUUUCAUGUGUUUCAAAGGUUUAAUAUUCUGAAAAUAAUGUGAUAUGGGAUAAUUAUGGUUGUCUUUCUCAGCUAAAUUUGGGAGAACAUGCCAUCUCUUCAAACUGCUUUGCCUCCUGAACUCGCCAACAAUGUGAUUAGAGUUAGUACUUCUCCUUUUCCUCAUGUACAAUUUUUUUUUUUGGGUGUUUUUUCGCUUACAACUUCAUCAGUUAGUUGUAGUUAAUUUAUAAUUUUGUUGUCCGUUUCCUGAUGUGUGCCUUUGUUGUUUCUAGCUUUACCGUGAGUGUCUCCGAAGAGCUAGAUAUAUUGGUCAUCAGGUAUGCAUAAUCUCUCUCUUGGAGUUUCCUGAAGUUCUGAAUUUAGCGUGAUUUUCUUAUCUGAUUUUGACUCUUGCUGGAUAUGAGAAUUAAUAUUGGGCUCUUAUGUUACAUAAAAUGAUUGACAGUUCUGUUGUAACUUUCAUCACACUUUAUUUAUUUUUUUCUUUUGUAUGUGAAUUUAAUUGUGAGAUAGACACGGUUAACAACCACUUGAGGCUCUUCUCCAAACCUAAUGGGUAAUAUUCAUUUGAAGAGCCUAUCAUGAGGCCUUUUGAAUUCUCAAGCUAAGACACUCUGUUAUGAAGUUGGACUUGCUUAUGAAAAUAACCUGGGAAAGAACAAGUAGGAUUUUGUCUCAAUGUCUUCUUGAUAGGGAGAGGACCACUAAGUAAAUCCUCACUGUUCUUAGCUAAAAACAGGAGAGGUGAUAGGGGAUUCAAAGAUAAACCUAGUAAUGGAUUAGAUAUUGUUAGGAUCAAGCACUAGUCAUCUCAUCUUAAAACUAAUUGGUUGCCAAUGAAGUCAAUCUAAUCCACUUUAUGUAGUUUAAUAUCACAUUCAUUCAUACUCAUCUUGAGGCUUAGCAAUUUGAAGACUCACAAUGGGGCUUGACCAUCCCACAACACACCCAUCUCAAGGUCUUUUACUCAUCCUGAGCCUUACAGCUGGGCUUAACUAUCACAGUGGGGCUUGACCAUCCCAUGACAUACCCAUCCCAAGGCCUUUACCCAUCCUGAGGCUUAUAAUGGGCAUAACCAUCUCUGGCUUUACACACCCUUCCCAAGGCCAUUUCUUCAACCAUCAUUUUCCUAAGUAGCGGCAUUGUAGUAUACCUAACAGAUACAACCAGUGUAGAGCCCCUGCCUAUACCAAUUAUCUAUAGUUGCAAGAGCAGAUGCACCCAUCAGAUGUAUUGAUCAUCUGGUGACAGCAUCACUAACAACAGAAACUUAUAGCAAUUACAGUAGCCACCAAUGCAGAUUGUUCAGGAGCUGACACUUCACUUAUUGUGCAAGAACUGAAGCUGGACUCUUUGGGUUUGAGAGUUCACUGCACAAGCACUAUAUCUGGACUUAAAAGCCACUCACCAGGGCUUGAUCCUGGUUCUGGAUGAAGGCUUAUAUUGGAUGGUUUUAUGUGAAUAUGACACAGAGGGUCACCUUGAUCCCUAACAGAGCUAUCGGUUUGUUGCAUACCUUCCUAGUUUUGAAAUCAGAAUUGAUCAAUUUUGCAAGUGCUUCAUGCCAAUGCUUACUGUCUAACCUGUUUUUUGGGUUAGGCAACAUGGACGGUGUACGAUUCCCUAUAAAAAGGUUGAUUUAUUCCGUUCUAUUUCUUGCUUGUCCUGGUGCCUUUCUGGCUUCUUUUCAUCCAUUCACCAAAUACUGGAAAGAAGGAAAGAAAAAACUGUAAGGCAGAAAUGGCAAACUUGGCUCAGAACUUUUUGUCCUCUUGGUUGCUUCAGAAAAAAACUAAAAGCAUCUUUUUGUGUGGACUAAUGAAGUGCUUCUCUCCAUCCUAUAUGCAGAUCACUAUUCUUUAAUUUCAGCAUGUAAAUGAGGAUUACCUGUUUACUCUGGUGAAACUAUUCCUGAUAAGAUAAAUAUUUAAAAAGUGAGAUGCAAUAGUUUACAGCUUCACAUGUUGUCCACUUGAUGGUUAGUUGAGUGGAAGAAUAUGAUAGGAGAAGGAAGUUUCCGGCAUAUUAUAAAUUUGUGAAUUAUAUAUCACAUUAUUCAAGUCCCAGGGUUAAUGGUUGGAUUUUUUAAGGCUUAUGGUCUAUGUUAACCUCAACUGAUACUGGAUAUGGAAAUACUGAAAUUUGGAUCAAAUAUGAUAAUUUAACAGAAUUCCUGGGAUUUUACAUUCUGGCAAUAAAGUCCUAUAAUAUAUCCAGAUAUCAUUUCAGUAGGAGUUCAGCCCAUAUACUAUUUGACAUUUCUUCCUCAUCUAAUCAUAUAGUUUAUCUUGUUUGGGAGGUAAUUUAUUUAAUCCAAGGGUUCUUCCACCUCUGAUCAUAUUGCUUCUCUGGUCUGGAACUUAAUUUCUUUAAGUGCAAGGGUUCUUACAGGUGGAACUUGCAGGACUGCAUUUUACCUGCUUCACCUUGAAGAACCUUAGUUCAUGGUUUUUAUUUUUAUUUUUUAAUAUUUCGCUCUAAUUAUAUUGAAAUGGAAUUGAAAAUUAACUUAGUGUUAUAUGUCAAAAUGUAGCAACAUAAUACAGAGCUUGUUGUUGAUAUGGUGAGGCAGCAGUUCAAAAAACACAUGCAUGAGACAGAUCCAGAAAAGAUUCAAAAGUUGAAGGAUGAGUAAGUUUCUCUUCGCCUAGUUUUCUUGCAUGAGUGUGGAUGGGAAUGAGGGUGGGGUAAACAAAGUGGCCUUUGUGUCCUGUAGUCAAGAAUGCCUUUCACUAACUGGCUCUUCCUGUUUGCAUUGGGGGGUCAUGUAAUAUAUUCUAUACCUUGAUAUUGUUUCUUUUUUCUUAUUUCUCUUUUUCUGGAUCAAAAUAGGCAACCUUGAUCAGAGAAAGUAGGAACAACUAUUGGAAACAUUCAUAAAGUUUCUUAUUCCAUUUAUUUGAUCAAAUUAGCAAGUAGGAUUGGAGGACAGUUGAUUGAACAUAUUAGUGGUGUGUGCAUGAUUACAAUAUUAUUCUGAGCUAGCAGUAUUCCUUAGUUUUAAUCCUUGUGUUUUCUGGGUUUGUAGCGCGGCAAGAGGACUUAUAAAUCACAUACUGUAUGAGUCUGAGAAGAUGUCUGGCCGCAAAUUCAGCAAAAAGUCUUGAUAAUUCCAGGAUGACUCUUUUCUAAGAUUUUAAGUAGUGUAUCAGCUGAAUUUUUGGUUGUGAACAAAAUAAUAAUUAUGGUUGUUCUCUCCUUACAUCUUCUUGCACUGUCAUGCAACAUGAAAUUUGCAUGGUGGCUUUUUUUUUUUAUGGUUGUUCAAUUUACACUGAAAGAAAUUAACCGGUCCUGAUUGCAGAAACAGGACUUGGGCAAGAAGAUGGCAUUAGCUUGCAAAAUGACCUGCAAUUAUUAACAGCUGUGAUAUAAUAACUUUGUAUCCUAUUACUUUCAUUAGUAUGGUUCUAGUAUCAAGGUCUGGAGAGCUGAGGCAGAAUUUUUCGAUUCUUCUUGUGUGUUUGUUUGUUUUUUUAAUUUUUAUGGGUGUUGUGACGUUCUGAGGCAGGAGAUGGUGGCUGUGUAGGAUGUAUCUGGGCCUGGAGCCCAAAACCAGGGCUGGGUCAGGCCCAAUGUUUCAGUCCAUGCCCCAGUCAUCGUAGGGCCAGCCCAAGCAUUAAAAACUCAGGCCUGGACAUACUCCCUAGCCCCCAACCUUCUAUUCUUCUGAAGUUAAAAUGAGGCUCUUCGUAUGCCACCAUAGCCCUCUGCCCUAAAUCAUGCUGCCCAGCUUCAGGCUACCCCUCAGGGCCGAGAUGUUUAUAGCUAUAUGUUUUGCUUUUGUAUGGUGAACUGUGGUUCAUCAGGAAGAUGGCAAGAACUUGGUAAUCUUAGUAGUUGAUGUCAUGUUAAAUUUGCCGCAGAGAGGAAGCAAACUUUUAAGACUUGAGGUGUCUGUAAUGCUUGCAUCAUUUAUUUCUCUAUUUCCCUUUAUAUUCCUAAAACCUACUAGCUUCAGGCCAUAUAAGUUGAGCCCCAAAGGAGUAGCUUAGCAGCAGUGCCAUCUGGUAACGAAUCAGAAGUACCAGUUCAAGCUUCCUGGUAUUUAAAUGGUGUAGGAUUGAGAGCCGGGUUCAUAUCACCCGGUUUGCUUUGUCAGCAUCCUCAAAUUGUAUGGAGAAUGGAACACCCCAGCUGGCAAGGCUGGCAAACAGUAUUUGAACAAGAACGUUUUUAUGGGCCAUUCACCCCUCUUUUCAAUUAUGCAAAUUAUAGUUGGUCUUUGAACAUAGAUUGGUUUGAGCCACAUUGAACCAUACAUUCAGGUCUUUCCAAGCUCGAAGACAAGGAUUCUGAAAUAUCUUUAGUACAGGGACAUGCAUGAAAGUGGUGUGAAGAAUAUUUCCACUAAGAUCCCAAGCAAAAUACCGUGUAAACUACAAUUCUCCAACAACCCAAAUUAUUUCUGCAAUUGAGGACUCAUGACCCAGCAUCUUUUCAGGGGUAAUGUGAGAGACUUCUAGCCAAUGUUUAACAUCACACUUGGUUUCUCCAAUGCAUGAUUUUCCUCUUUUUCUGUUGGUCAUGCCAUUUAACCUUUUCAGUGAUGAUGACCCUUUUCUUUGUUUCUGAUGAGUGGAUUUUGCCACAUAAAUGCAGAAGUGUAUUAGCAAGCUCUAUAACAACAGAUGAUAAGGACGUGAAGUUUCCAAAUAAUUAACCUUCAAAUAAAUCAUCGGAAAAGUGAACUAUCACCUUGUUUUAGUGCGCUCCUUUUGCAGUUUUUGUAACAUGUCCAACACAACAUGACCACCACCAACUUGUGGCCUACUGGUAUCAAGCUGCUACCUGGGGAGAUCUUAUUUGAAUCUUUUGCCAUCAUCAGUCUAAUGUAAAUGUUAGGCUUGCAAUAAUACUGUUGUAUUUGAUAACAAGCCUCAAAGAUGGGAGUGACGUUGAAUGUCAUAAAAGAUUUAGUCUCUUUCAUCGUACAUUAAUCAGCUUUCAGAUGAGAUGUUCAAAGCUAAAUCAAACAAAUGAUCAAAUUCAAGAGUAGUGAGUUCAACACCAACUUGGCUUUCAAAUGGGAUGUUAAAAACCCAACCCAACACCAAAUAUUUAGGAGAGUACAAAGAGGAAGUGUUCUUUCUUUUACUCUUAUCUGGGGCCACUAACCUUCUGCUGCACAUGGCCAAACUUUUCUUAAUCCUUUCAUUCCAUGUCCUGCCACUUUGCCCAUCUUCACACUCAAAAUUUGUUCUGUAGUGUUUGACCAUACACAACUUUUGUUUCUUUUGUUACAAAAUGUUUUGUAUUGUAUAAUUGGAACUAAACAAAGGCAGUGCUUUUUUCCUUUUUUUUUCCAAGGAAGCUAGUGGGUGCAUGUGUUUUGAGCAGUAUGCAUAGUAAAGAGGACAAACUGGAUCAAACCAAAAAAAACUAAUGGACAAUUGCAAUUUUUUCCUGAACUGGCCUUUGUUCCAUUUCUGUUGAUAAGGCUCUAAACAUUAAGAGACUAGCUGCUUCUGCUGCUGCCUUUUGUAGUCCCUUCUGAUUUUUCUCAGUGCAUAUUCGUUAUUUCUGCUCUAGUCUGAUAAUGCCAAACUCCAGAAAAUAAAAUAAAAGAAUUCAUAAAUAUUGUUCCUGGUAAUUAACUGUAUGAUGGCAAAGCAUGUUACAGUAAAGCCCACAUCAAGGAAGAGGAAAGCGCAAGGAAUAACCCCUUGCAGGCUCCCUAUACAUUCAUAUUACACUAUCCCUGCCGACACUUCUCUUUUGGCAACUUGACAUUAUAUUCAAGCCAAAUACUAGCUAGUUUAUAUCUGAAUUCUGACCACUUUUUCCUAAAUUGGACUGUCUUGCUUCUCCCGUUCUUGGACUGAAUGGUCCUCUUCCACCAAAUCGCGGACUUCGAAUCCCUCUCAGUUCAGUUAUCCGAGGGCUGCAUACCCUGUCUGAGAAGCUCUUUGUACUUUUGAAAUCUUUGGAUGGCAUUGCAGUGGAGCUUGUCAUUUUCAAACUACAUGUACGUCUAAUCUCUCCCCUGCCUCUAGUAAUGAUCCCAUCUAAAACCUCUCCAUGGUCUGCAAAUGAACUUCUCCUACUCAGCUCCCUCUCCUGCUAAGAACACAGCAAGUACAGAAAAUUUAUAAACUGAAAUAAGCCACUGGGUGUAAGUUCUUUUCUUUUCCCAGAUUUUAACGUGAAAAUAUGAUGAAGGAAGAGAAACCAAAAGUGCAUAAGGACUCUAAUUCAGAGCGAAAGAAUUGAAAACUUACACUCGUGAGGUUGAAUGAUAAAGCAGGAACCUCUUCAUAUUCUGCGGCAUCUAAAUCUUGAAGAUGUGCCCCUUUGAAAAACUUGGGCAAAAUGUAUUGUCUCACAGGAACCAAAAGCAUGAUCAUUAGAGGGAACAGAACUCCAGCAAUAGGAACCCAAGUAAUCCCAAAACAAACAAGCAAGUAGGCAGUCUGGAAAAUUGUAAACAUUGCAAUUGUCUUGAAAGGAACGGUUUCCACAAAAGUUGCAUGGUAGUCCUCCAAAACUCUGAAAAAGGAAAUAAUAAUAAAAGCAGAUGAACAAAUGCAAUUCAGUUAGUUUUCUUACAAGUUAAAGGAGAAAGAUACAAAGAGCAUGGGAAAAGAUAAGGAAAAGGGUUUAAGAGUGUACUUGUAUCUUCUACUUGGUGCCGUAAAGAGUAAUAAAAUCCGCUCCCAGAACUGGUUACCAGGUAAGCUUUCAACAGCCAUGAAGGCAAAGUAUCCCCAGAGUACUGAUGUUGGGAUCUUCUUGAGGAAAGGCAUGGCUGCAACACAUCCUCCAACCAUUAUGGCCUGAAGCAAGUUGCUGAGCCGCUGUUCUUUCACCUCAACAGGUAAUAGGUCAUCAAUCUCGUUCUCAAUAUCAAACAGAGUCUCAUCAAUUGGGGCUUCCAUAUUCCCCAUGCUUGAAGCCAAUUGAAUAGUUGAAUCUUUCAAUUCUUUUAGUCCCUGCCCAUCACACUAAGUUUAAACAAGGUUGAAUAAUUAUUGCCAUUAUAUAAAAAUAAAAAUAAAAAGUUUUGAAACUAUGAAUGAAGCAGUGAUAGACUCUAUAUUCCUGUAUGCUUUACAGAAAUAACUCCAUCUAAUCUGGUCACAUCAGUGCAAGGUUCAGAUCAAGAUGGGCCAGAAGUUUGAUCGAUAAUCCUGAAUUGUACAGAUGGGUCUUUGGCUCAUCAAGUUUCUGAACCACAAUUUUAUCAUUUCAAAGACAAAAUGAAAUCAACAACAACCAAAUGAAUGCGCUGUUGUACCAGAGCUGAGGGUUCCUGGUAAACCAAUGGAGUCUGCAUAUGUUGAUAAGCUUCUUGCAUGCUUUCAUACAUUUGUCCCAAGCUUGAAUUCUCCCUGAUGCAUUUACGUGCUGUUUCCACAAGUCGGUUGCGAAGCAACUACAUAAAAAGCACAAGUUUUGUAAAUACAUUCUGUUCAGUGUCUGCCAAUCAGGAGUAAUUGAAUUGGUAGAAGGAUAGCAACCCCAUGGUACAACAUAGAAAAAAAUCAGUCUGAAAUGUCAAUUAACCAAAAAUAUCAGUUGUUGAAUUUAGUCCUACCUGAUGCUUAAGUGUAGCCAAACUUUUGGUAUGCAUUGGAGAUUGUGGAAUGACACCAUUUGCUGGAGGGAUUCCAAUGAGACCACACAAUAUGACCUGUCACGAAGUGACAAAUAAUUGAAUAUCAAGUUCGAUGCAACUGGAGAUCAUGUGCCAUAUAUUUCAAUUACAGGAAAAAAAAAGAAGAAGUGAGGCAUUUGAAAAGGCAAAGAUGUAGGAAAAGGAGAUUUUUCAUACCAUGAAACCCAAAAGAAGUAAGUCAUAAUGGAAAGAAGGUGGCUUUCUCAGAUUGAAUUCUUUUUGUUGAGCAAGUUGAGAUGCUACACUGUGGUCAAAAUAGUAAAGUACAGCAAUCAUAGUUGCUGGAAUAAAAGCUCCAAUUAUAUAUAGGACUGGCACAUUCAGCAUGUCCUGCGAGUUUCAAGUGCAGGCUAUUAAUAUACUUUCAUCUUAAGAGAGUGAUCUCUUUUAUCAAGAUAAAAAAUAUGCAGACACACAGUGUUGAGUUAGGCAUGCCUUUAUGAUGGUCCAAUUCUCAUAUGAGCCUGGUGACCAUGGAUUUGGGCUGAAGAGACGCCGUGGGAUCCCUUUUGGAAUACUUCCAGCUGGUAUAUAGGAAACAGCUGUCCACACCAGAACCAUUAAUGGCACACCAUAAUCUGCUAUGAAACCUCGAAGACAACCUGCACAGAGAGUAAUAUCAUCUAUUAUUUAACAGAAAUGAUGGUCCUAGAUAAACCUGAAUGGUGAGAUGUAAUUUGUGUGGCCAGUUCCAAACAUAUAGAACUAUCUUUUCUUAAGCAGAGUUCAUCAUGACAAUACCCAGUAAACAGGGGCACGGUAAGACUAUUUGUUCAUUUCUGAAGAAUGGAGAUGAUCUGCUGCAUGUUCAUGUCUUGCAUUAGCAAGCACUCUUAAGUAUGGGAUCACUCUAUGAAAUAUAUCUUCCUUUUUAUAUUCUUCCUUUCCAGGUUCAUGUUCAUGUCUUGCAUUUGCAAGCACUCUUAAGUGUGGGAUCACUCUAUGAAAUAUAUCUUCCUUUUUAUAUUCUUCCUUUCCAGGUUCUGCAGUCGGUGAAGGUGCUUGAUUUUAGAAAUUCACAAUUACAGUCUAUUUUUGGGUGUCAGGAGGGGAAUGGAAUAAGAGAAAAUUUUAAAAUAUGGUGUUGAGAUGAAACAGAAACUUUAUCACAUGAACUGAGGAGGGGUUGGGAGGUGCAACCAAAAUUAUAAAAUUUUUCUAAAGAAGCAGUUGAUCGGACAAAAAGCCCUUUCUUAAGCACUUUUAGGUUGGUGCCAAUUGAGAAGCUAUUCUCAUGCAAAAGAGGAUCUUCGACUUUACAGUAUUUAAGGAUUUUUAGUCGCCUGGAUGGCUUCAUGUACCUUGUGAUUCUAGUCUCUGUAAUUAGAGGUUUUGUCUCUUCGGGGAUAGCUUUUGUUCCUUACCAAAAAAAUUCAACUGCUGUAAGAAAAAGGAGGAUAGAGGGAGAACAGCAUUGACAGGAAGAUGAAGAUUCCUGUGAGAAGUGGAAAAUAUUGCCAAUUUCCAUGACACUUCUGAUAAGUAAUGGCAGGCAUUCAUGAAAAUAAGAUUUUUUCUUUCUCUGUUGGAUAAGAAAGCUUCUAUUUGAGUAAAAAAAGCUCUAUUCAGUUUGAAGAUUAUAUAAUAGCCAAUAAACUUACCAGACCCAUAACGCCAAGACCUCGCUUUUCGGCUUCUUAACGCAGUAAGAAAGAGGCCAAAUGACAGAACCAGGGCAAACAUCCCAUUAGCAAACCUCCACGAAGGUUGAAAUUCUGUCAAUGUCGGACUUUCUCUUCCUGGUAUGCGAAACUCAUCUAUGAGUCCCUAGAAAAUCCAAUUCAAAAAUUAAAAUUUGAAAUGAAUGUAUUGAAUCAAAUAGAACUUUUCCAUCAGAGCAUUCUAUGAACACUAUAAACAACUGUAUUGAACAUCAACACUUUAUGAUUUGAGUAUUCAUCCUAAAAUAUACACUUAGCAAUUUUAAUCUGACAAGUAUUAACUAUUAAGAAAUUGCCCCAUGUUUCAUUGUAAGUCAAUAAAUAGUAUCUCUUACUUUGAUAGCUUCCUGCAUAAACAGCAUUGCAAUAAGCAGGCCAAACAGUUCCCCUGCGAUACGAGUGAACCUAUUGAUAAUGGAGGAAGCUCCUAAGAUGGCCAGAAGGAAAAGUAAGCCUGAAGUCCACACACAUACCCUGCCCAUCCAAAUUGUCAUGCCAUUCCAGAUAACUAAUUAGAUUUCUUAUAGAUAAAAAUCAGUAGUGGAAUAACAAUAUCACUUCCAUUUGCUGGUGAUAAGAAAUACAAUACCAUCCAGUCCAUGCUAGAAAGAGCUUUGGUCCCAAAUCUGGUCUAUCUUUAGCGAAGUUGAACAUGAAUGUAUACAUUAGUACAGUUGGCUCCGCCACUCCAAGAAUCAGCAAAGGCUGGCCUCCUAUGAUGGAGUGGAUAAUUCCACACAAGGCGGUAGAAGCUAAGGUUUGAACUGCCGUGAGAACCCCAUCUGUUAACAACAGACAUAAGCGUAAGAACAAAAUCAUGAAAUUAUUUGAUGGAAUCCAACUAACAAAUUUCAAAUAUACUUUAAUUGUUCAUAUUGUUACCAGUAUUCUUCUCCAACUGCUCUCCAAAGGAAAUAACUGGAAUUGCUGAAGCAAAAAAUAUGUAUGUGGUGGGGGCCAAAAUCCUACAAACAAUUAAAUUUGUUACCAGCCUAACAUCAUCAUCAUCAUCAUCAUCAUCAAACUAUUGACAAAGCUGAGCAAUAGAGAGAUCUGAAAGAACAAUAUGUAUAAGAGAAAUUCCCCAUUCCUAUAGUCAUAAGAUACAUACAUAUAUGGGAUGGGAGGAGAAAGGCAUACCUGAAGCCUGCCCUGAGACCACCAGUCCAGUCUUGCUUGUAACACAAUAGCCUCCCUUGAAGAUCAUUCUUGAUUCCGCGAAAUGGUACAAAGGUCUCUUCCAUGGCUUCUUAUAUUUAACUUAACUGAGAACUUUCUUCGAUACUUUAAAAGGGAAGUGAGACACAAAUAUGUCAACAACGAAGCACCCUUAAAGUGAGUAAGUAGACAUGGUAUAAAUGUGGCAAAGUACACUCUUCUCAGAUCUAGAAAGAGACUCAAAUGUCAUUUUAAUAGGACGGAAUGCAUGAUAAUCCCGUAUAUCCCAUAUGGCGAAAGAAUUUUUCCAGGAAAGGGAGAAAAGCACAACCCAGAAUCAAACACAACUGCACCACAUCAAAAGAAAGAAAGAAAAAAAGGUUGUAGGCUUUGAAUAUGCAAACCAAGCUUCAAAACCCAAAAGGAAACUGCCAAGAAAAUUCAAAAUGACAGAGGUAUUGGAUGAAUGAUGUGCAAACUAGUCAACAUUUUUGCUUGGGCUGAAAUCUUUGCCUUCACACAAAUACACGAAAGCACAGAGCAAGGCUGUAAGAAAGAUUACAAAUAUAUAGGCUUGAAAAGGGGAUGUGAAAGGACAGUAGACUUGAUGUGCUGGGAUACUUUGAUUUAAAAGAAGGGGGUUUUUUUCCACAUUAAAAUACCUUUGAAAUUUGUUUGAAAGGACCUUAUUUUGGCACCUCUUCACAUGUGUUUCUCACUUCAAGGUUACAAAUUUAUCAUCUCAUGUAUAUAUAAAUACAUCAUACACCACCUGGGUUUUGAGCUAGUGAAGAAGAGAGGCCAGAGGUCCCAACAUUAUUAUCUUUACAACCCACUUAGAAUACAACUAUAAGCUACACAUUCUCUCCUUUUUCUAAUUAGAUCUUCUUUCAAAACUUAAUUGGGAGUGAAAUGCGGGUGAAAAAAGGGGCCGAAAAGAACUUCAGUCAGUGCUCAACAGCAAAAGAAAACAGAGAUAAGCUUAUAAAAAAAAAAAGGACCCCAAAAGAAGAAACUACCAAUAAACAAUAUAAUGUAAAGCAAAAACAGAAGAUACAAAGUAGAGGCAAUGUAUAAUACUCACAAGCCCAAUCAGUUGAGAAAUAAACAGCUCUUUUUUCUGGUCAUGAAAGAAAAGGAUAGAAGUGGAGACUAAAAAAAGCCUUUUUUUCUCAAUGCUUGAGACAGAGAAAGAGAAAGAGAAAGAGGGUGUGCCAGUCCAUCACAAGCUGGCCUGGAAAGGGAACGGCUCCGCAUCAUCUCCAUUUUCUCAAAAAAAAUCUGUUUUUUUUUUUUUUUUUUUAAUUAGAAAACUUUUUUAGUUGUAUAAAAAGAAAUAGUUUUUGUAUUGAUGAGAAGUAAUCAGGUGCCACUGAAGUACCUUCCUGCUGUAGUCCUGCUCUUCCUGAAAGAGCCAAGUGUCAAAAAGGCCAAAAACUUCCGUCUUCUUUUCCACGUGUCUUGACAUCAGUGGUGUCAAUAGGUGUGGCGCAGGAGCACCGGAUUUAUUCUCUUUUGAAGCGUGUACAGGUAGGCAGCGGCGGAACCGUGUGUCCGAUCUGCAGAGAGUAAACAAAGCUACAGUCACAGGAGGACACUGUGACUGUUCUCGUCAAUGUGAGAGACGCGUCUGUGACACAUGUUCGCAUGCUGUGACGGACCAAUAGAUUAACGCCACUUCAUCAUUCCAAAAACUUGUUGGAGUAUGACAUCUAACCCAACUCCAAUUACCAGCAGUUGAUGGAAAUUAUGUACAACAAAUCAUGCCAUUUUUAUGAUUGGCAGAUUUUUUAUUAGACAGAAUAACCCAUCUUUGGGAUUUUUAUUAAUAAAAAUGUUACAUAUCAUCAAAAUGGAACAAAAUUCUAAUAAAUUGGAAUCAAAUGCAACACAUUUUUUAGUCUCAUUAGAAAGAAUAUUGACAUUCCCCAAAUUCAAUUCCACAUCCUAAAUAAAUAGUGUGGUUACCAUAGAAGAAAAGUGCAUUUUUCCAAUUGUGUAAAUAAAUAGUCAAAGAUUGGAUCUAAUACCAUUUGUAAUGGUUUGCUCCCAACCGUAUAUAUAUUGUUAGCUUUGGAUCCAAAAGAGUCAUCAUGGCAAUUAUAUAACGCCAAAAUUUUUUCCUUCCAUAUGAGAUGUCACAAAGAAUACCAAAGUCCCCAUCCAAAAUCUUGAUUGUGCCCCUAGGCCCUAUGUUUGAGGCUAUUUACCAAUGGGAAAAUAGGGAAUUUAGUGAAGGAAGAUUUUGCAUUUCACACUAUUAUCUUUGUAUUAUAUUUAGAAUACUAAUAAGUGCGGGAUGGUAAAAAAUAUAAAAGAAAAUAAAAUAUUAUUAAAAUUAGAUAAAAUUUUACAUAUUUUAAAUUUAUUUAAUUUUUAUAUAAUGAUAAAAAAAUCAAACAUAAAAUAAUAAUUUAUUAAUUUUAACAAAAUGAAAAAUAGUCUUAAUAUUUAUUUUGUUCCUUAUUUCAAAAAAUGGGAAAUUUUAUUUUAACAAUGGUUAUUAUAUUUAGAAUAAUUAUGAACCUACAAAAUAUUAUCUCAAUUCAUCUUAUUUUACUUGUGAUAUGGUUAUAAAAAAAAAUUAUCCUUAUUCCAGAAGAAUAAAAAAGAAAGAAUAAUAUUUGAAAAAAAGAAUAUUUUAUAUUCAAAGGGGAAUUUUUUUUAAAAGAAGAAGAAGAAGAAAAUAUGGUGGCUUUCUCAGUAUGGUUUAAAACAAAGGUUGCAGUGAAUGCAGAAGCUGAGAGAUCAAGUAAAUAAGGCCAUGUAAAGCUAAAGCAGUAGAAGACCUAAUUCACUUAAAGAGCAUUAAUUGAAACAAGACUACAAAUUCUGCCAUUGGAAACGGCCAUGUGAAUUGUGUAAUUUAUAAGCUAAUUCAGAAUCAGUCUUGAAUUUCUUUAUCCACCGUCACUGCCAUCAUGGCCUAUCAUUACAACCAAGAAGAUCAGAACCUUAAAAAACCUGCUAAAAGACAAAGCAACCGCUAAUUUGCUGGCAAUGAGUCCAAACAAAAGCUAUAAUCCAUAAGGACAAGGAAAUUGAUUAAUGCAAAGCAUCUAAUGAUCUAACCAUCGCAAUUAAGGUAACAAAAUCAUCAUUACACUAUGGUGUUUUCCACUCAUGUUAAUUAACAUUAGUUCAAUACCUUCAAUCAAAAUCAAUUAAGGAUUCAUAAAUCAUAAUCACCACACCAUAAUUGUGAUAUUCCACAUCGGAUAAGAUAAAAAGUUCUUAAUAUUAUAUAAGUAUAAACUCCUUUUAACAAUGAAGAUGCGUUUUGAAAUUGUGAGGAUCAUUUUUAACCAAAAUGAGACAAUAUCUACACAGUUGGGUGCGAGUCAUUACAGUAACACUAUUUAUCAUAUUAGACAAAUUCACUUUUAAUUGACUUUCAACCGACAUUUCACAUUUCUACCCGUUAAUGUUGUACUACAAAUCAAUUUGAUAUAUAUUAUUGGCCCAACAUUAUGUAAUGGCUUAAGCUUUUAUCAUGUAACUAGUAGCUUAGUAUGGUAUCAAAGCCUCGAUUUUAGGUAGGUCAUGGAUUCAAACUUCUGCUGCUUUAUCCCCUUGUUUAUGAAGUACCCAUACAAGAGGUGAGGUGUUAAGUGUUACCGUGUUAGAGCUAUAGUCCAGCAAAAUGGUACAACACCAAUACUAUACGUAACUUUUUAAGUAUUUAAUGUGUAUAAUGAGAUCUAAAUUAUUGAAUAAUGGUUUAAAGAGAUGAAAUUUAAUACAAAAAAAAAGGGGGAUCAAAAUGCGCAAAAAGAAAAAGGAAAAAAAUAAAAAUACCAUGACUUGGAUACAAAUAAAUGGGACCUAGACGAAGGUACAAGUUAGCUAAAUGAGACCAUUUUUUCAUAUGGCAAUUUGUGAUUUGCUAUCACCUUUUUCAAUACCAUAGAAUGACCCCUACCUAAAUCAGCUUGAUAUACAUUAUUGACUCAUCAUUAUCUAAUUUUAGGCCAAUUGAUUCAUAGAUAGCUUAACGUUACUUUAAGGCAAUCCUAGUGUGCACAUAUGCGCAAGUUAAAUAGCAAUCAAAAUAGACACCUUUACAAUGUAUUUUAUGCAAGCUUUAGAGUCUAAAUUUUCUAAAAUUCGUCCAAGCAUGAUUGCCGAAUAUUGGUACAUAGGGAAAAAGGGAGUAAAGCAAAGAGAGGAUCACCAACAGUACGAAAACCCAUAUCUGUUUCACUUUGGUGGAUAGUGAGAGGCCUUAGCUAUUGUAAAGAUCACUUUAGAGAGAUGGGUCCUAAUGAUUUUGUCCAGCACAAAGUUUCAUUCAUACUCAUGAAUGAUUACGAGACUCGAAGGAAAAAGACGAAGGCCCUUGACUCGAGUGGGUAGGCCCUGUGUUGGCGGUUCUACAAUUCUAGCCUUUGAUGGAGGUGGCCCACAACACUAAGAAGCAUAACAUGUUUUCCCUUCCCAUGCUUGUCCAACCUGUCCUCUGGACUACAACUACCACACUUAGCAACAAGACAGUAUGUUAGGUUUUCUAUGGGGCCUGAUAAAAUUUAGAUGUCUAGAUUCAUUUGGUUGCCACCCAAUCCUAAUUCAGAAAAUGCGCUUGUCUCACAUUUUUUUUUUGUAGUUUUGGGAGUUUAUUCCUAGCGUCGGUGUCCAAAAGUUCCAGAAAAAUAUAUAAAUUUGUCAAACCAAAAAUUACUACGGUUCAGUAGAGCAAUCUAAGUACAAAAACCUAAAUUUGUUUUUUUUUUUUUUUUUAUAACUGUGGAUGUCCGGGCCAGCUUACGUACACUUCGACUAAUCCCACGGGACCCUGAAGUUAAUGAUCAGAUAAACCUCCAAUGGCCCUGAGGGAACUCGAACUGGUGACCAUUGGGGAGCAAACCCAAGGCCGGACCAACUGAGUUACCCUUCAGGGUUAAGUACAGAAACCUAAAUUACUAAGGUUCAUAAAUGACAACAACAAAAAGUAGUAAGUCGCAAGUACCACCCCUUCAAUUCUGUUCAAAUGGAAUCUCAAAUCCCUAUGAAAUUGCUCUGAGUCUAAAAUAAUUAGGAUCCUAGUUGUUCAAUUCUUCCAAUGUUGGUUGGAGACCUCACCAGUGGAUCAAGUUCCCCAGGGCAUUUGAUCUGGAAGCCAAAUAUUGAUGGGGCAAAGAUCAUUCAAGCAGAAUCAGCAACUGCAGCAUAUGCUUUCAGGAACAGUGGUGGUCAAAUCAAGGUAACAAACAGGCAGCAAUUACGAGAAGAGAAACAUCUAGCACAACUAGAGAUAUAGGGAGAAUUUGAGUUUAGUCAUUGAUGCCAUUACAUGUAGAAAUGGGGCCAUUUCAAGGAGUACUAUCAAUAUUAUUCAUGAUAUCAAUAGAUCUUUAACCUUUUGGGGGAGAUUCCUCAUUAAUCAUAACCAUGUAUUUAGGGAAGCAAGCAGAAUAGUUGUUGGUGGAGACAUGAGGGCUGUAAGUCAUCCGGCCAAGUUAGUUUUCUGCUACACCGAAGAAAGGGGACAAAUUAAAAUGCCACUACUAAUUUUGGUCUGUAGAUUUUUCAGGAACAUAAUUUGAUGAAGCAUAUGAUAUCUAUAAUGAUACGACAAUUUCUUAUAUCAGUUACUUCAACAUCUAAACCAUUCAGCUCACUGUAAAUUUCACCUGCAAAACACUAGGGAAGCAAGCAAGCAUUUUCAUGACUUGUCAGUGGAGACAACCAAAUGCUCUUCAACAAACCCUAGGUUGGACUGAGUUGGUGAAAUUUUUAAUAACAAAAAGGGUUUUGAAGUAUCAGAGCAUCAAUGAGCAUAUAAGUAUAAAGGCCACAAGACCUUAAUGAUUGAAGUGAAUGGAGACAGCUUCUAAUUACCAAACCUUCUGGGUCACCAUAACUGAUGAUCAUUGCCAAGUGAUAAUUUGUGGUGACAGAAGGGAUGCUCUGUCUUCACCAUUUUUAACAUUUGAAUGAGCAAUGACUUAGGACCGAGGCAACAAAAAAAACAAACUAACCCUCCUUUUAUGGUUCAGUUUUGUCUCCACCAUUUUUAACAUUUAAAUGAUAAAUGAUUUAGGACUAAUUCCUGUUUAAUCCUCUCUGUGGAGAUCAAGGACUCAAUAAUUUGGUGAUUGGGUGCAAUCACUAUACAGAAUUGCAUCAGAUCCAUAAUUUUGUGAAUGCAAAGGAGGGUAAGAGGGUGAGGUUCUCUAGAUGAAGAAAGAAAACAGUCUAGCUGAUCAUUAAUGAACUAGAAUGUACUACAAGCAACAUAAUGGCAGAAAAAGGUUACCUUCUUCUUUCCAUUGUACUCCUUACACGGUGCAAAACACGGACAAACUCACAAAAUAAUGAGAAGUCAAAACCUGUUAGACUGUCACCAUCUGCAACCAUUUUAGAAUUUCUGGAAGAGUAAGUGCAUGGGUUCUGACAGAUAACAAAGUCAAAACCACCAAACUUCUCGAUCAGGCUCUCAAGCUUGCUACUUGCUAGCUUCUGAAUGUCAUCGAUCUGCACCAACUCCCCAGUUUGUCCAGUAUUAUGCCACCACUUCUUGAGAAUGUUCCGUUUUGUUUCAGAAAUCUCCACAGAAACAACACCUUUCAAAUGAAUGCCAAGCUGGUGUAAGGUAAGUUCUGCACCACCAAUUCCACUGAAAAGUGAUAACAUUGUUAAUCCUUUAGGGAACAUUGACUUCAAAACGGAGAGAUGAUACCCCAGUGUGUCGAUCUGGAAGCAGUGUCUGAGAGAUUGGAGUCUUUCUAUCAAACUAUACUCAGGGACUCGAGUGUGAUUCAAUGGGUAGCCUAGAAUGCGCUCUAGAUGUUCAGGCUCUAUGGGACUCAGUUUACACUGCCCAACCCACACAAGAUUCAGAGUCCGGCAAUGAUGAAGGAUGUCUCUCUGCUGUUCAAAUGAGAGCAGCCCUCGAGAAUCAACUAAUAUCUUUCCAAGCCUAUCACAUAGUUGAGAUAUUCCUGAAGUUUCAGAACUGAUGCAGCUCAACUGCUUCCUUGUAUCCCAUGAUGGCCACCAUUUCUUUGUGUAUGGUAUUACUUCUUCAAUAGUCAUUGGUGGCUUUGGAAGGAUGUGAAACCUAUUUUCAGAAGGAAGGUUGUGUAUGUAGCCUUCCUUCCUAUUCAAGGCUGAAAAGAACUGAGUAUUCACAAAUUCUGGCUCAAGUGCAUAGAGGAAUUGUGAUAUUUUGUUCCAAGAGUCGUGGGAUACAUUUGUAACAUUUCCAUAAAAGAAAUAUGGUGGCUUAGCAACCAGUUGAUCAAGACUCUUGCAUGGCAUGGGCUUAGAAAUACUCGACAUUCCAAAUUUAUUUAGUUGUCCUGCAACUUGAUUGAGAUCCCUACGUGGUAAAGGCAUCCGGCAGCUAGAGAAUUUAUGGUCACCUUUUCUUCCUUCUAGCCAAGUGGGGCCAAUGUAGGCGCUUGAGUCAUCAAGAGAUUCUUGUUUUGGCCUUUUCCCUUUAUGAUCAUCUCCUAUGUCAACAGCCCUUAACUGAGAAACAGCUUCUGGACUAUAUUCCUCAGUUUUUACCAUGAAUGUACCCGAAGAACGACGUUUUAGGCCAUCUUCCAUCCCCUUACCGAAAGACCUAUAGUCAUUUCCAGUAUGCGAAUGAUUCAAUCGGAAUGUGGCUGAGGAGUGCUGCACGAAACAGGAUAAAAUUAAAACCUUUAAUAGAAAGAAUGAGAAAGCUAUCUGUCUUCAUAAUAUAAUCAUGUGCAAAAAGAGAACCAAGCAUAUUAGAAUUGUAGCCUUCAGAACUGUAUUGGGCAAACAGCAAACUCAAAUUUGAAUUUCAUUUCGAAGUACUAACUCAGCCAAGUCUUAAUCCCAGAUGCCUACAGUCAGCCUCAUGAAAGUAAUCACUGAAAUUAAGUGUGGCUUAUGGGAAACUGAAGUCUCGGUAUUAAGCUGAAAAACAUAAUGCAGGAUCAUCGAGAAGGGAAAAGAACCUUGUCUUUUUCAGCAAUUUGGCCCGCAAAAAUUGAAUCAGCAAGCUCUGAAAUUGGAACUUCUGAACCUGAAAGACAACAGAUAUUCAUAACUCAAAGGUUGGAAGCAAGGCAUAAGAUUGCAUGUUUAGUGACCAUAAACAAAGAUGAAUUGCCUCAAUAUGACAUUUGCAAUUUGUCAAAAAUCAAAUCAAAAUCAGUCAAAUCUCAUAAAAGACAAAAGAUUGAUUCUGGAAAUGUAACAUCUCAAAAAAAUACAUCAACCAGAGUAUGACAAGAUAGUUUCUCUAGACAUCAAACUCUCUCUCUCUCUCUCUCUCUCUAUAUAUAUAUAUAUAUAUAUAUAUAAAGAGAGUGAUAUAAAAAGUGUCAAAAGAGUGCCAAAGUACACAAGAUUUAUACAACAGUGGCUAAAAGGCACAACCAAAAAAGAGGGACCACAAAAAACUACUCCCUCAACGAGAACCCAUGCAAUCUACAAAAUCAAAUAAAGUCAUUGCACUUUCAUCUAUGUAAAACUUAGCACACAUAAAAAGAUUGCUAAAAAUGUGUUUUUCAAUCUUUGACCAAUGCUCCUCAUUUUCAAAAGAUCAUUGAUUCCUUUCCUUCCAAAUUGUGCAAAAAAUGCACAAGGUGGCAUUCUUCACAACUUUCAUUUUUUCCCAUAAAAGAGCCAUGUCAUCCUAAGAAUGUCUCUGAGACUGUGACGAACAUAUCCAAAAUAUGUCAAACAAAGAAAAUACAGAUCGCCACAAAAUCCUUGUCUUGGUACAAUGAAGAAGCAUAUGAUCAAUAGAUUCUUCCUCAUAUUUAAAAAGAAAUCAUCUAUCACCAAAACCACUCUCUCCUUUGAAACUGAAAUAAUGUCAAAACCAUUCCCUACUACCUUCCCACGCAAAAAAAAAAAAAAAAAAACUUACUUUAGAUGAAUCCAAGGAGUUCCAAAUUACACCCAUUGAAAAAAGAAAUGAUCUCCCUAACUCCAAGGCAGAUUAUAGAGAUUUGAUAGAAAAAGUCUCAUCCUUCGAUUCCUUCCAAACCAGCCUAUCCUCUUUGUCCCUAUUCAUCUCCCUUCCUUGCAGAAUAUAGAAGAAAUGUUCUACAUUAUCAAGCUCUGACUCAUUCAGAUGCCUAAAGAAGCAAGUAUUCCAAAAAGCCCUUUGACUUGUGUAGACCCAUAAUUUCACCACCCAUGCCUCUUUUGAUACAACUAAGGCAUACAAUGAUGGGAAAGAUACACAACGGUUCAUCUCUACACUAUUUGUCCUUCCAAAAUUUCAUUCCCCCCCACCACCAAUUACCCAUAGAAAGAGAUACUUAUUUUUAUAAAAAUCUCAAUCCUUCCUAAUAGCUUUAUAUAAACCAACCCUUUACCAAUCUCUCACUUUACAAGAAUGCCAUUCCCUUCUUCUUCCCCAUAUUUUCUACCUAUAACCUACUUCCAAAGAACUUUCCUUUUAGAUACAUACUAUCAACUCCACUUACAAAGAAGGCCCUCUUAAGCGAAGAGAAACAUCUAACACCCAAGCCUCCUUCCUCUUCUCAAUGCAAACAAUCGACCACUUCACUAAAUGUGGUUUUUUCUCUAGGGCCCUUCCUCUACACAAGUCUCUUUGAAUCUUCUUUAACCUUAACUUGACUUUCCUUGGGAUGCUAAGAAGAGACAUAAUAUUAUUGGGCAAGUUGGAUAAUGUGCUCCGAAGCAAAGUAAGCCUCCCACCUUUGGAAUAUUGUCUUUGCCACAUUGCUAACCUUUUAAGAAACCACUGUUUGUAAACAACUCUGGUUAAAAUAUUGAUGGUUAUGUAAGAGAUAUACAAGUUCUUAGUAAAUAACUUCAAAACCAUAACACCUAGAUGCUAUACUAAAUCUUGUUUAGAUAAUAAUAUCACAGUCCCUAACAAAUGGAAACAAUACAUAUUGCAUCCUCUUAUUUACAGGAAUACGUGUAUGGAAAAGCAGAAUGACACCUUUUAAGCCCCCAAUAAGAGCAAAAACAUGUGCAAGAGAGUAAGGUAUAGACAUAAAACAAACCAGAAUAGAAUGAGCAAAUCCAUCACUCUCUACAGGGCAGAUGGACGAUAAAAAUAGUAGACAAAUCAUGGGCAAUCCAUCUUUAAUCAGAAGACAACGUGAUAUCUAGCAACAGUAAGAUCCCUCAAGAAUAGGAGAGAACCAGAGAACCUAGAAACCUAUUGUUCAUCAUGAAUAGAUUGAAGAAACUACUGAAAAAAAAUCGAGCCCUCAAUCCCAGGAUACUUAGAAUCACGAAACUUUCUCAGGAACAUAAUUACCAGAAUAUCUGUGGAUUUCACAAGAGCAAUUCAGCACACAAUAUCUUUAAAAAACCACUAGAUAUUCUUAUGUAAAUGGUUAAAUUCAACGCAAUUGUAAUCUCAAAAAGACAGUUAUGUUGGCUAUAAUUUACAAUAAGACCCAUUUCCAUUCAGCAAUGUGCCAAAAUCGAUGACCCCACAAACACCCUCCACCUCAUCCCUACAAAAGAUAAAAUCAAAAAAUUGAAAAUAACAGCACAUAAAAUGCUUUUCCUAUGC